AUUUUAGUGGCAGAUUAGUGCGUUAGACUUAAGAUCUAAAUAAGAUAUUCGUAUCCUAAAAUA
rnacentral:tRNA from 1 species